GACGAACGCUGGCGGCGUGCCUAAUACAUGCAAGUCGAACGAGAGCAACCGGUGCUUGCACUGGUCAAUCUAGUGGCGAACGGGUGAGUAACACGUGGAUAACCUGCCCAUCAGAGGGGGAUAACAUCCGGAAACGGAUGCUAAAACCGCAUAGGUCUUCGAACCGCAUGGUUUGAAGAGGAAAAGAGGCGCAAGCUUCUGCUGAUGGAUGGACCCGCGGUGCAUUAGCUAGUUGGUGAGGUAACGGCUCACCAAGGCCGUGAUGCAUAGCCGACCUGAGAGGGUGAUCGGCCACAUUGGGACUGAGACACGGCCCAAACUCCUACGGGAGGCAGCAGUAGGGAAUCUUCCGCAAUGGACGCAAGUCUGACGGAGAAACGCCGCGUGAGUGAAGAAGGUUUUCGGAUCGUAAAACUCUGUUGUUAGAGAAGAACAAGUGCUAGAGUAACUGUUAGCGCCUUGACGGUAUCUAACCAGAAAGCCACGGCUAACUACGUG
rnacentral:rRNA from 1 species